UUUUUUAAGAUACUACAUAAAAAAGAAAGUGACACAAUGUACUGCUGUAGAAGGGCCUAACGUCCUAACCAAUGCAAAAGGGGGGCUGGGGCACUGGUUGAUAAAGAAGAGAGUGAAGGGGAAACACCAUUACCACCCUGCAGCUUCAUGACAAUUAGACCCAAAGUUAGGCACUAAGGUACAGCUUUCUGAGCUUGGGACAAUACUAUGUUCCCGGAGGGAACAAGGGCAUUCGGGGUUUGCGUUGUUAGCAUUUUGGUUUUUCUCUCCGCAGAUCACCGGAGCAUCGUCUGGGUUCCCACUGCCAGGACUCCACCAAGAUCCCCCCGCGGGGCACAGGCUUUAGCUCGCCACCAGCAUGCAUCCCUCUCUCCAGCAAACAAACUGCCAAGGAGUCUUUGAGCUCCCUCUUGGGAUCUUCCCUUGAGGAACUCAGCCACCAUGCUGUGAGAAGCCUGGGUCAUGAAGAGGCCACGUGGAGGUGUUCCAGUAGACAGCCCAGCUGAGCUUCUGGCUGAUGGCUAGCAUCCACUGUCAGCGAUGUGAAUAAGAUCUUGAACAUUUCAGACAACUCCAGCUCCCAUGUGAUUGCAACCCCAGCCAACAUCACACUGGGCAUAAGAACUACCCAGCAGAAUCAAGUCAACCCACACAACUGUGAGAGUUAAUAAAAUGGUUGUUGUUUCAAGUCACUAUGUUUUGGAGGAGUUAGGCUGCAACAGAUAACCCAAACACAAUCUCAGAGAGAACCACUGUUGGUGACAGCGGCCAGAAGGGGCAAAUGUUAGGGCGCCUGGCUGGCUCAGUCAGAAGAACGUGCAACUCUUGAUCUCAGGGUAGUGAGUUAGAGCCCCACAUGGGGUAUAGAGAUAAAUAAAAAACUUAAAUAAAUAAAAAAAUGUAACAACAAUAACAAAAGAAGGGUCCAAUGUACAUGUGUGACAUGCCAGGAGUCCAAGCAGUAGCCCAGGAAACAGGGAGCAGAGAGGUCUCUAACAACGGCAGAGUCUUGUCACAUGGCCAGGGGUGUAUAAUUCCAAAGAGGUCAGUGAUAUCAAGUCAUUGUAAGUUCAUGAGUAACAAAGUCAUCAUAACGUGACUUCUUAAACAAAUGUAGACGUGCCUUCAGUCAAAUACUAUUUCCUGGAACAUACAAUUUUACAUGAUCAUCGUGGCAGAUACUAUUAAUAGUGUGUUUAGUGUGCGUGAACAUGGUGCUUGGUACUUUCCAUGCAUUGUCCUUAUUCCUCAAAACAGUCUUGAAAAAUAAGAAUAUUUAUCUCUCCCUCUCUCCCCCCAACCCUCUUUCCUUCCCUCUCUUCUUUCCUGCUUCCUUCUUUCAUCAGAAAAGGUAGUUUAAAUUUUUUCUAAAUCACAUCAUACAUUGUUAGAUGUAAGAAAGCUUCCUGUUAAACUUUGAGCAAAAAAUAGAAUCCAGAGCUGUUUUUUUUUUCCUUCCCAGUUCUUUCUUUUUUAAAUUCCAACAUAAUUAACGUACAGUAUUGGACUAGUUUCAGGUGUACAAUGUAGUGAUUCAGCAAUUCUAUACAUUACUCAGUGCUCAUCAUGAUACACAUACUCUUAAUCCCCUUCACCUAUUUCACCCCUCCCCCUCUCCUCUCUGGUAACCAUCAGUUUGUUCUCUAUAGUUAAGGGUCUGUUCAUUUCUCUCUUUUUUUAUUUUGCUCAUUUGUUUUGUUUCUUAAAUUCCACGUAUGAGUGAAAUCAUGUGGUGUCUUCCUCUGACUUACUUAUUUCGCUUAAUAUACUCUAAUAAUAUACUCUAAUACUAGUAUAUUAUACUAAUAUUAUAUUGUAGUAUAUUAUACUAUAGUAUAUUAUACUAUAUAAUAUACUACUAUAAUAUACUAGUAUAUUAUACUAAUAGUAUAUUAUAUAAUUAUAGUAUAAUAAUAUACUAUAAUAUACUCUAAUAAUAUACUCUAAUACUCUAAGCAUAAUAUACUCUAGCUCCAUCCAUUUUGUUGCAAAUGGCAGGAUUUCAUUCUUUUUUAUGGCUGUUUCUUCCCAGUUCUUAAUAUGCUGAAACGAAUUCAAUAUCCUUCCUACUUCCUGGCUAGUUGCAAACAACUUCAACUUCUCACGCCUGUUGAAGGUUGAGUUAAUAUUUGAAAAGUGAUAUGUAGGUUUACAGCCUACUACCGGCAGAGACCAGUUACCCUUUCAGUUCACCUCCCAUGUUCUAACACCCUGGAAAUGUUUAUGGAGUGUCCACCGCAUGGGUAAAUGCCACGUUACCUCCUCGGUAGAUGAAAUCGGAAAUAGAUUACAAGUAGGAAGAUUCUACCUGGAUGGACAUACUGGCAGUAGGAAACUCAUUUCCUUUCCACCAUUCUGUAAGGCACCUGGAUAGCCAACAGCAGGCACAGUAUUCAAAACAGAGCAUGCACUUACUCAACGCUUACUGGAUGAAUAAAAAGCAUUAAAUAGAGAGUAAUAUGAAUGUCUGAAAAUAAUGUUAAACAGUGUUCACUGUGUAAAAUAAGUAAAGUAGCAUUAUCUGAUAUUAUUGGCUCAUACUGAGCCCGCAAAAUGCAUUAAAUGCAUUUGAAUGCAUUAAAAAAUUCUCAUUUACAGCCUUAUGUAGAUAAUUCCAAAUUUGUUUUUCCCAAUUUCGAAAUCUUGCCAUUUCAUACUUUUGCUCAGGCUGCUAUUGCCUUGGACCUGUAGGAAGUUACCACAUAAUCUAUAUUCAUGAAGUCCAGAUUUGAAAGACAACAUAUUUCAAUCAACUCAUUCUUUGAAGAAAGAAGGCACAGACUUGGUCACAAAGACCAAUGAUCUUCUCAUCUUCACAAAGUAGCUCAAAUUCAAAUUUAGGCAAUUAGCUGAGAAUUUAUAGCCAGAGAUAAAGCAGUGGGAAACUGUAGGGUACUUUUCAGAUGCAUCAUGAAGGAAAAAUUCCACAGGCACCAGCUGAAAUCACAAAUGAGCAACUCCCUGUUUCUUAUUAUGACUAUUUCUCCAUAUUUCAUUAAUGAUAUAUUAAUAAUGUUAUUAAUAACUAUGGCUGACAGAGCAACUUUAAAGCAUAAUUUAAAACUCUACAGGUUUAAAAGUACUGACAAUAAAUAAGGAAACUCUGAGGUCUAGUAAUAAAUGGUUAUAAAAAAUGUUUCCUCCAAGAUCUGAUUAAAUUUUGUAUUAUUGUUCUUCUCUGGGGAACUGUAAAUGUAAAAUAACAUGUUAAUUUCUAUUCCUUAAGUAAUAUUUCUCUAGCAUCCUCAGAAUGUAAUAGUUUCAACAGCUACUCUUUUCAUAGAGAAUUCUGACAUGGGAAAUAAGAUAUCUGCUCUUUCCUGAAGAGAUGUUAUUUUCUUAAAUGAGUUUGUUCAUUCUAUUUAUUUGUUCUGUGAAGCUAUGAUACCUACCCUGCCUGAUUUUGUUCCUCUUAUUUUAAGUUUGCAUAUUUUAUUUUCCCAACUAGCCUCAACUCCCUGCAUACAGAAAUCAUGUGUUCCUACACGAUUUCAUGUUUUAUGUCACCCUCAACCUAGAGCAUGGUGAUAGAUGCAAAGAGGACAAUAAAAAAAUGUUUCAUUGACUGGUUAGAUAGACCUCUAACAAACAUGCCAUAAAGGCGCCUGGCUGGCUCAGUGGGUAGAGCAUGCAACUCUUGAUCUCAGGGUUGUGAGUUUGAGCCCCACGUUGGGUGUAGAGAUUACUUAAAAAUAAAACCUUUUAAAAAAAAAAGCAUUCCAUAAAACACAUUCUCACAGACGUGGCUCUGCUUAAAGCCACCUGAAAUUAAUGGGGAUCCUUCACCAUAAGAUGAUUUGUGGAAACUGCACGGAAGCCUCUUCAAAUACAAAUCAAAGCACUUUGCAAAUGAGAAGGCAUCUGUUGACAUCUACAUUUGCAAUGAAGAGAUUAUAUGAGAACAGGGUUAGAUAAUUUGCCUACAACUAUACGCUGAGUUAG